rnacentral:tRNA from 1 species
CGUGUAGCUCAGCCGGUAGAGCAGCUGACUUUUAAUCAGCAGGUCCAGGGUUCGAACCCCUGCG